CUUAUAUACAUCUUCAAAUUAUUGAAUACAUUUUCAAAUGGUACACUCUUAAGCAAAGCAUGUUUUUCUUUCUUUU
rnacentral:lncRNA from 1 species